AUUUUUGUCAGUCGUGCUUUGCACCAUAUUGCCGCGACUUUAAAUAAAAGCGCUAAAAAGGUAGACAAUAAUAGUAG
rnacentral:ncRNA from 2 species